rfam:Camelus ferus unplaced genomic scaffold scaffold461, whole genome shotgun sequence.
GGGAGCUCUAGUCUCAUAAUCGUGCCAUUUGCUACAAUUUGCACUCAUUGGAGCUGUACAGAAUAAAAUGUCUAAUGCUGCUUCCACAAAUAUUUGAGGACUGCUAACACAUUUCCUUCUUCCACUCACUCCACAAGGGA